UCCACCAAACUACUCUUCUUCUACUCCCCACACCCUCAUUGUGUGUUAUUAUCUGCAUAUCAGAGAGAACAUUUGACCUUUGGUUUGGGAGAUGGUCUUAUUUCACUUAGUAUGAUAGUCUCUGGAUCCAUCCAUUUACCCACAAGUCAUAAAGUCAUUUUUUUAUGGCUGAGUAAUAUUCCAUGGUGCAUAUAUACCAUGAUUUUUUAUGCAUUCAUCUGUUGAAGGGCAUCUAGCUUGGUUCCAUAGCUUAGCUAUUAUGAGUUGAGCUGCUAUACACAUUGAUGUGGCUGCCUCACUGUAGUAUGUUGAUUUUAAUUCCUUUGGGUAUAUACCAAGGAGUGAGAUAAUUGGGCCAGAUGGUUGUUCCAUUCCAAGUUUUCUGAAGAAUCUCCAUACUGCUUUCCAGAGUGGUUACACCAAUUUGCAGUCCCACCAGUAAAUAUAUGAGUGUACCUUUUUUCCCACAUCCUUGCCAAUAUUUAUUGUCAAUUGUAUUCUUGAUAACUGCCAUUGUGACUGGAGUGAGAUUCCAUCUAAUCUAAUGCAAUAAUUAAAUUCAUUAAUUGUUUAAUUUGAAAUAGUUUUAAUUUGCAUUUCUCUAAUUGCUAGAGAUGUUGAACAUUUUUUCAUUUAUUUGUUGACUAUUCAUAUUUCUUCCUCUGUAAAGUUCCUGUUCAGUUCCUUUGCCCAUUUAUUGAUUGGGUUAUUUGUUGGAUUUGGGUUUGUUUUUUUGGGGGGGGGUUUAAGUUUUUGAGUUCUUUAUACAUCAUGGAGAUUAAUGCUCCAACUAUCUGAGGUGCUCUUGACUUCUGAGAAUAGGAGAGAACAGUUUCAUGGUAGCCAGAGAAUUUGUCUUCAUUACAGAGUUCCACCUGGGGAGUUGUGCUCUCUGCCUGGUGGAUUUUCAACAGAUGUACUCUGGGCAUUGAUUAGUCAGCAUGCUCAAAAGUGAUACCCGCUCCAUUAUAUUCUCUUUCUCUACCAAGGAGUGAG
rnacentral:lncRNA from 1 species